AAGAAAUGGUGAAAAAUUGGAAGAUGUUAGAAUUAUUGAGAAGAUACUCCGGUCAUUAACUUCCAAAUUCGAGCAUAUUGUCAUAACAAUUGAAGAAACCAAAAAUUUAGAGGAGAUGUCGAUUGAUCAAUUAAUGGGAUCCUUACUAGCAUAUGAAGAAAAGCAUAAGAAAAAACAAGAUAUAGUGGAGCAAUUAUUCAAGAUGCAAAUAAAAGAUAAGGAAGAAAAUAUCGGAAAUGGACGAUGUCAAUAUGGAAGAGGUCAUGGUCGUGGACGAGGUCGAGGCCAUGGACGUGGACGAGGAGGUUUCAACAACAAUGAAGAAAGAAGAGAAUAACCAAGUCGUGGGAGAGGCAACCAAGGUGCAAGGUACGAUAAAUCUCAAAUCAAAUGUUAUUCUUGUCAAAAAUAUGGAAACUAUGCUUCACAAUGUAGAGGGUCUCAAACCAAAGUCGAAGAGACCGCCAACCUUGCGAAGGAUAAGGGCCAAAAAGAUGUGACCCUACUUCUAGCAUACAAAGGAGAAGAAGGGAGACAAGACAACACUUGGUACCUUGACACCGGGGCGAGCAACCAUAUGUGUGGAAAGAGGAGCNNN
rnacentral:lncRNA from 1 species